CCAUGUGGUGGCUCAUGGUGCAGGGCUUCUUGCUGCCGUCGAGGACGAAACCGCCUUCCACCGGCCGCGCCUUGAC
rnacentral:tRNA from 1 species